GACGAACGCUGGCGGCGUGCCUAAUACAUGCAAGUAGAACGCUGAAGGAGGAGCUUGCUCUUCUGGAUGAGUUGCGAACGGGUGAGUAACGCGUAGGUAACCUGCCUUGUAGCGGGGGAUAACUAUUGGAAACGAUAGCUAAUACCGCAUAAGAGUAGAUGUUGCAUGACAUUUACUUAAAAGGUUCAAUUUCAUCACUACCAGUUGGUCCUUCUUUGUUUUUGCUUGUUGGUGUGGUAACGGCUUACCAAGGCGACGAUACAUAUCCGACCUGAGAGGGUGAGCGGCCAAACUGGGAAUGAGACAAGGCACAGAGGAAUAGGGGAGGGAGCAGGAGGGAAACGUCGGAAAAGGACGGAAGAGAGAACGAGAAAAGACGAGUGAGAGAAGAAGGGUGUAGGAACGUAAAGAACUGUUGUAAGAGAAGAAAGAGUGUGAGAGUGGAAAGUACACAGAGUGACGGUAACUGAAAAGAAAGGGACGGCUAACUACGUG
rnacentral:rRNA from 1 species